rnacentral:rRNA from 1 species
GACGAACGCUGGCGGCGUGCCUAACACAUGCAAGUCGAACGGAGUUAAGACUUCGGUUUUAACUUAGUGGCGAACGGGUGAGUAACGCGUGAGGAACCUGCCUCUCAGUGGGGGACAACAGUUGGAAACGACUGGCUAAUACCGCAUAAUGUUUCUGGACCGCAUGAUCUGGGAAACCCAAAGCUUUAUGUGCUGAGAGAUGGCCUCGCGUCUGAUUAGCUAGUUGGCGGGGUAACGGGCCCACCAAGGCGACGAUCAGUAGCCGGUCUGAGAGGAUGAACGGCCACAUUGGGACUGAGAUACGGCCCAGACUCCUACGGGAGGC